GAUGUAAAGCAACCAGGUGGUUUAAUACCAGCAGCAUUAACAGGAUGUAAAGUAACCAGGUGGUUUAAUACCAGCAGCAUUAACAGGAUGUAAAGUAACCAGGUGGUUUAAUACCAGCAGCAUUAACAGGAUGUAAAGCAACCAGGUGGUUUAAUACCAGCAGCAUUAACAGGAUGUAAAGCAACCAGGUGGUUUAAUACCAGCAGCAUUAACAGGAUGUAAAGCAACCAGGUUUAAUACCAGGAGCAUUAACAGGAUGUAAAGCAACCAGGUGGUUUAAUACCAGCAGCAUUAACAGGAUGUAAAGCAACCAGGUGGUUUAAUACCAGCAGCAUUAACAGGAUGUAAAGCAACCAGGUGGUUUAAUACCAGCAGCAUUAACAGGAUGUAAAGUAACCAGGUGGUUUAAUACCAGCAGCAUUAACAGGAUGUAAAGCAACCAGGUGGUUUAAUACCAGCAGCAUUAACAGGAUGUAAAGCAACCAGGUGGUUUAAUACCAGCAGCAUUAACAGGAUGUAAAGCAACCAGGUGGUUUAAUACCAGCAGCAUUAACAGGAUGUAAAGCAACCAGGUGGUUUAAUACCAGCAGCAUUAACAGGAUGUAAACCUUCUGUAUUAACACUGUGUUAAGUAGUGGUGACGCCGCGUUAAGUAG
rnacentral:lncRNA from 1 species